UACGGGGGGGGCAAGCGUUGUUCGGAAUUACUGGGCGUAAAGGGCGCGUAGGCGGGAUGGCAAGUCGGUCGUGAAAUCCCUCGGCUCAACUGAGGAUCGUCGAUCGAUACUGCCGUUCUUGAGGAUUGCAGAGGAGACUGGAAUUCCCGGUGUAGCGGUGAAAUGUGUAGAGAUCGGGAGGAACACCGGUGGCGAAGGCGGGUCUCUGGGCAAUUCCUGACGCUGAGGCGCGAAAGCGUGGGGAGCAAACAGG
rnacentral:rRNA from 1 species